rnacentral:lncRNA from 1 species
UUAUGCAUAAGAUUAAUCUUAAUAGCUCUUAAGCAAUUUUAGCAUAUCAACUGAAUUUGAAUCAAGUUAAAAUGAGAUAUUGAUGCUAAAAAUAAUUGAAAGCUAAGUUCUUUUUGACUCCCCCUUUCUUUUCCAGAAGGGCAAUUAUCUUAAAGCCAAUAUUCUUCAAUUUUAACUCUUCUAAUUCAACUUUCGAGUAUGAUUGUAAAUUUUGUAUUUUGCAUUUCAUAUAUUGGUUCUACAAAUGUGUUUUUCUACUCCCCCUUUUUGUCAUCAACAAUGAAGGGGACAAAUUAUCCUUAGGUGCUUAAAGCAUACUUUCUAGUGAAAUUCAGCAUAGUACCAUGAACCACUCAAGGGUAUUCAAGUUAUUGCUCCCCCUGUCCAAGUUAUUUUUAUUAAUGAAUUCAGUCAUUCAUAUCACUCCCCCUUUGUUCUGGAAUUCAUUUCAGACUUCUCUUUUUGUUUAAAAUAGUUACCACAAGAUGUGCUCCCC